UUGCUGCGGAGCCAGGAGGGGAAGCGAUGGCUGGGUCCGCGUGGAUCUCCAAGGUCUCUCGGCUGCUGGGGGCAUUCCACAACCCAAAACAGGUGACCAGAGGUUUUACUGGUGGUAUCAACUUUGCCAAGCUUAUGUAGAUUACUCUUAGAUUUAAGCAGACAGUUUUAUAGAGGAACUAAGAAAAAAAUGGAAGCUCUCUUGAUAAAAAGUCUGAUUUUCCCUGAGUACCAAAACAGACCUCAGUAAUAUUUUGGAAAUGUGUCUGAAAGUGUUUUGCAAGACUGAAGAAGUUGCAUGAGAAGCUUUCCAGGAUCACAAUGGAAAGGAAAGGAAAACACUUGCCUUCAUGAGAAACCCUCUAAAUUUUAGUGAGAGAACAUUGUUAAUUUUUUGUUGUUGUUGUCUUUGGUUUAAAAGAUUUGAAUUAAUUGGUCUCUUUGCAGCUUGUCUGAAAAGAAAUAUCAAUUAGGAAAUCUACUUGGUAGUUUAAUUUAUUUUCGUUUUAUGUAAAGAGUAUCAUUUGGGUUCUUUUUAAAACCUCUGAACUCAGGUAAAGAGUAGGAUUGCAGAGUCUCUCCUCUGUUGAUUCCUGCCUCCCCUUUGAUGACCCCCGGGGAGGUAUGUUUGUUUUCUUAAUAGCAUUUGAAUCUUCUUGAGACAUCUCAUAAAGUGGAUUUCUCUGUCAAAAUAUUCUUUUUUAAGCCUUCAAAAACAAAAAUUCUUACUGUCUUCUUUGAUGAUUUCUUAUGUUCAGGUUCAGACAGUAACUUUAAUUCCAGGAGAUGGUAUUGGCCCAGAAAUUUCAGCUGCAGUUAUGAAGAUUUUUGAUGCUGCCAAAGCACCUAUUCAGUGGGAGGAGCGGAACGUCACUGCCAUUCAAGGACCUGGAGGAAAGUGGAUGAUCCCUUCAGAGGCUAAAGAGUCCAUGGAUAAGAACAAGAUGGGCUUGAAAGGCCCUUUGAAGACCCCAAUAGCAGCCGGUCACCCAUCUAUGAAUUUACUGCUGCGCAAAACAUUUGACCUUUACGCGAAUGUCCGACCAUGUGUCUCUAUCGAAGGCUAUAAAACCCCUUACACCGAUGUAAAUAUUGUGACCAUUCGAGAGAACACAGAAGGAGAAUACAGUGGAAUUGAGCAUGUGCGAGGUGGGACUUCCUGUCUUGCAGAUUGUUGAUGGAGUCGUGCAGAGUAUCAAGCUCAUCACCGAGGGGGCGAGCAAGCGCAUUGCUGAGUUUGCCUUUGAGUAUGCCCGGAACAACCACCGGAGCAACGUCACGGCGGUGCACAAAGCCAACAUCAUGCGGAUGUCAGAUGGGCUUUUUCUACAAAAAUGCAGGGAAGUUGCAGAAAACUGUAAAGAUAUUAAAUUUAAUGAGAUGUACCUUGAUACAGUAUGUUUGAAUAUGGUACAAGAUCCUUCCCAAUUUGAUGUUCUUGUUAUGCCAAAUUUGUAUGGAGACAUCCUUAGUGACUUGUGUGCAGGAUUGAUCGGAGGUCUCGGUGUGACACCAAGUGGCAACAUUGGAGCCAAUGGGGUUGCAAUUUUUGAGUCGGUUCAUGGGACGGCUCCAGACAUUGCAGGCAAGGACAUGGCGAAUCCCACAGCCCUCCUGCUCAGUGCUGUGAUGAUGCUGCGCCACAUGGGACUUUUUGACCAUGCUGCAAGAAUUGAGGCUGCGUGUUUUGCUACAAUUAAGGACGGAAAGAGCUUGACAAAAGAUUUGGGAGGCAAUGCAAAAUGCUCAGACUUCACAGAGGAAAUCUGUCGCCGAGUAAAAGAUUUAGAUUAACACUUCCACAACUGGCAUUUACAUCAGUCACUCUAAAUGGACACCACAUGAACCUCUGUUUAGAAUACCUACGUAUGUAUGCAUUGGUUUGCUUGUUUCUUGACAGUACAUUUUUAGAUCUGGCCUUUUCUUAACAAAAUCUGUGCAAAAGAUGCAGGUGGAUGUCCCUAGGUCUGUUUUCAAAGAACUUUUUCCAAGUGCUUGUUUUAUUUAUUAAGUGUCUACCUGGUAAAUGUUUUUUUUUGUAAACUCUGAGUGGACUGUAUCAUUUGCUAUUCCAAACCAUUUUACACUUAAGUUAAAAUAGUUUCUCUUCAGCUGUAAAUAACAGGAUACAGAAUUAACAAGAGAAAAAUGUCUAACUUUUUAAGAAAAACCUUAUUUUCUUCGGUUUUUGAAAAACAUAAUGGAAAUAAAACAGGAUAUUGACAUAAUAGCACAAAAUGACACUCUUCUAAAACUAAAUGGGCACAAGAGAAUUUUCCUGGGAAAGUUCACAUCAAAAAGAGUGAAUGUGGUAUAUUUCUAAAUGAUAUGGAAAAUAGAGACAGAUUUGUCCUUUACAGAAAUUACUGAGUGUGAAUAAAAACUUCAGAUCCAAGAAAUAUAUAACGAGAGAUAUAAUUUUUGUUAAUAAGACAAAGGUAAUAUAUUGGAUACAAAGAUACAAA
rnacentral:sRNA from 1 species